rnacentral:rRNA from 4 species
GUGGUCCCACCUGACCCCAUGCCGAACUCAGAAGUGAAACGCCGUAGCGCCGAUGGUAGUGUGGGGUCUCCCCAUGCGAGAGUAGGGAACUGCCAGAC